AGUGAACGCUGGCGGUAGGCCUAACACAUGCAAGUCGAACGGCAGCACAGAGGAGCUUGCUCCUUGGGUGGCGAGUGGCGGACGGGUGAGGAAUACAUCGGAAUCUACUCUGUCGUGGGGGAUAACGUAGGGAAACUUACGCUAAUACCGCAUACGACCUACGGGUGAAAGCAGGGGACCUUCGGGCCUUGCGCGAUUGAAUGAGCCGAUGUCGGAUUAGCUAGUUGGCGGGGUAAAGGCCCACCAAGGCGACGAUCCGUAGCUGGUCUGAGAGGAUGAUCGGCCACACUGGAAAUGAGACACGGUCCAGACUCGUACGGGAGGCAGCAGUGGGGAAUAUUGGACAAUGGGCGCAAGCCUGAUCCGGCCAUACCGCGUGGGUGAAGAAGGCCUUCGGGUUGUAAAGCCCUUUUGUUGGGAAAGAAAUCCAGCUGGCUAAUACCCGGUUGGGAUGACGGUACCCAAAGAAUAAGCACCGGCUAACUUCGUGCCAGCAGCCGCAGUAA
rnacentral:rRNA from 1 species